AUGCUUUGCGCAGCGGACUCUCGGAGGAGGGCGGGAAAUGCUGCAUUUCCCAGAAGCCCCUUCGUGGGGUAGUCCUCUGAAGUAGGGAGCCGAGGGUAACUCUCGGACGCCCACCCUGGUGGUAGGUAUGGGAGCUGGCGUUCAGAGGAGAGCGGCUGUCCAAAAUUCUUGUAGCUGGUUUCGUGGUUUGCGUUUGCGCUGUUCACUGAGGUACGGCUGUGUGACGAGAGACGAGGAAGAUGAAUGACCCAGUGGUCACACUACAGCAGUUUGCAAUCUGUUAUAAAGAACAUUUAGAGGAUAUCUAAUGUUUUGAUGAUUGUAAGAUCAUAUUGUGCAUGCCAGUCAGAUAAUCCGCAUCGUGGCUCCUGAAUCCAUGGCUCAGGGAACAUCACAGAAAGGCUGUAAGAACCAGAAUACCAGGAAGUCUGAUGCGAAACAGUCUCUAGAAAUGGCUGUACAAACUAUACUGGAGCAAUGGCAAUAUCUAUGGACAUGUUAAUGUUGAAGGGAGAAAGUCUCCAGGUCCCAACCCUAGACAAAGAACUAUUGGCCACUAAUAGAGAAGAAUUAGCCUCUCAUAGGAAUGAACUCCUUAGUUGGUUGUCCAAUGCAGAACUGUCAGCCUUGAGUUUAUAUGUACAAACAAAAAAAUAGAGCUAGCAGGUUUAUAUAAUCUGUGCACAUACACACAUAUGUAUGUAACAAUAAUAAUUUAAAAGAUGAGAAGAGCUAAGAAAACCUAGCCAGAGGCCAGGAUGGUGGUACACACCUUUAAUUCCAGGAUUGAAGCAAGAGGAUCUCUGUGAGUUCAGAGUUAGCCUGUUCUACAUAGUUAGUUCCCUGACAGCCAGCCUAUAUAGACAGACCCUGUCUCAAUGAAUAACAACAAAAUUUCCUCAAACAAAUUAGCUGUUUCCACAGAAUGAGGUCAACACGUUUGAAGACUAACUAUUCUCUGGCAGUCAGCCAUUCCAACUUUUAUUCCCACCACUUCAGUAACCACCGUUCGGUGUGAUUUGUGAACCUUGGCUUCUCUUCAGUUUUUUUGUUUGUUUUGUGGUGUGGAGGGUUGAAUCCAGGGCUAGGUUCACUGAUGCUAAACAAAUGCUGUGUCAUGAAACCAGGUUCUAGCUACUGAUUUUCUUUGUCCUGUUUGUCAGAUAGGCUCCCCCUAGGUGGCCCAGGGUAUAAACUGCCAAACCCCACUGCCAUGAGCAACAUACUUCCUGUAGCAAGCAAGGUGCCACAACCUAAAAGCUACAUAACCCACACAAAACAGACCACCAGCUGGGGUCUGUUCAUACACUAGGUUCAAACGCAGGAAACUAUGGGCUGUGGGGAGGUGGGGCGGGGGCGGGCAUUUCUCAUUCAAACUACCACUCACUCUGGCUUUAGGUAUCUGACAAUCAAGAUGAAAACUAUUACCAGUCAAAAAGGGAGGGUAGC
rnacentral:lncRNA from 1 species